CCGGAGGCGUGUGUCUGUGUGAAACGACUUUAUUUCAUGUGAUAAGUUUGUGGAAGAAGGUCGCCAUGUUAGGAGGCGUUUGCUAUUGUUUUACACAGACUACGAGGGACAGCGCUCGUUAAACCAGGUCUGUGAGGAUGAGAAGGUCUCCACAGUCUGGAGUCUGGUCUCUGACAGGCUCAACAUACCUGUCAAUCAACAAUUAACUCCUCUACAAAGGCAAGGCGCUGGCAGAUGAGCACAGACUGUCACACGACUCCAUCGCUCCCGAUUCCAAGCUGAACUCGUUGUGACGCCCCCAACAGAGAAAGUGUCACCCGAGCAAGAACAGCACUCCGUGUCACCCCUCCUCUCAGACCUCGCCCCUCACCCUCACCUCACCCCUCCUCUCACACCUUACCCCUCACCCCUCGCCACACCCCUCUUCUCACACCUCACCCCUCGCCUCACCCCUCCUGUCACCCCUCGCCCCUCCUCUCACCCCUCGCCUAACCCCUCCUCUCACCCCUCCUCUCACGCCUCGCCUCACCCCGGGUCAGUGUGGCACAGCCUGUCUGCUCUUCUGAACAAACACUUCAGCCCUGCCGACGCAGUGAGAGUCUGGAGCAGCAACACAAGGAUUACGAGCGGAGGCUGCGCUUGUUGAGCCUGGAUGAUAUGGAGUGGCUGGCGACCCGCAUGCUUCACCCUGAGGCUGUGGAGUGCAUGGAGCUGUCCUUCCUGGACUGAGGAAUACUGCUGCUGCCCUCUCCACCUCUCCCCUCUCCCCCCUCUUCUCCUCCCCCGCUCCCCUCUCUCCUCUCCUCUUUACUCUCUCCUCCCCCUCUCCUCUCCUUACUUUGUUUAAAAGAAUAGAAGCACACCCAGUGAGCAAGGCAUUGAGCAGCCCCACAUCCCGCUUCACAAUACCGCUACAUAUUGACUGACUGUUUGCAUCGUGUGUGUUUGGUAAGACAAACCACAUUUUCUCCUUUCUGCUAUUUUAAAAGGAGCCCAGUUUGGUGCAGGAGGCUUGUGGGUAACAGAGUGUGUUUUUGCUGGGGACUGCAGCCCUUCCGUUACCAUUGCUCGUAGAGGGGAGAUUGUUUUACUUUCAAGCCUUUUUCUUUAAUAAAUCCGGACGUUUGGAAAUACA